rnacentral:rRNA from 1 species
AGCCGCGGUAAGACGUAGGGGGCGAGCGUUGUCCGGAAUUAUUGGGCGUAAAGGGCGCGCAGGCGGUUAUUUAAGUCAGACGUGAAAGGUGGCGGCUCAACUGCCACAUUGCGUAUGAAACUGGGUAACUUGAGUGCAGCAGAGGGAAGUGGAAUUCCUAGUGUAGCGGUGAAAUGCGUAGAUAUUAGGAAGAACACCAGUGGCGAAGGCGGCUUUCUGGGCUGCAACUGACGCUGAGGCGCGAAAGCUGGGGGAGCGAACGGGAUUAGAUACCCCGGUAGUCCCAGCCGUAAACGAUGGACACUAGGUGUAGGAGGAACGACCCCUUCUGUGCCGCAGCAAACGCAAUAAGUGUCCCGCCUGGGGAAUACGGCCGCAAGGCUGAAACUCAAAGGAAUUGACGGGGGCCCGCACAAGCGGUGGAGCAUGUGGUUUAAUUCGAUGCAACGCGAAGAACCUUACCAGGGUUUGACAUUAAUAUGCCGUUACUGGAGACAGUAAUUUACCCGUAAGGGUACGUAUUAACAGGUGGUGCAUGGCC